rnacentral:misc_RNA from 1 species
GUCUCUUGCUCGGUUGCAUCUAACAAUGUUGCCGAGCAUAAGAGACCUGCAGCUGACACAGGUAGCCGGCGCUCGGAAAUCACGUCCGGCGAUCGUGGCGAAAGCUGAAGCUGACGACCUGGAGGCUUGACUCCUUUGAAAGCUCGAAUGAUUCUCAUGGAAUUAUAAUUGAAGAAGAAGAAGAAGAAGAAGAAGAAGAAGAAGGGAUGAAUAGGAUUCAGGUUAGAAUUACAGGGAUGACCUGUGCUGCUUGCUCGAAUUCCGUGGAAUCAGCUAUCAAGAGCGUCAGUGGGGUUUUGAGAGCCUCUGUUGCCUUGCUUCAAAACAAGGCUGAUGUCGUGUUUGACCCUACUUUGGUGAAGGAUGAUGACAUCAAGAAUGCAAUUGAGGAUGCAGGCUUUGAAGCAGAGAUUCUAGCUGAACCCAGUACAUUUAAAACAAAGCCAAGUGGAACUCUUUUGGGGCAGUUCACAAUUGGAGGUAUGACCUGUGCAGCCUGUGUGAACUCAGUUGAAGG